rnacentral:rRNA from 1 species
GACGAACGCUGGCGGCGUGCCUAAUACAUGCCAGUCGAGCGAACAGACUAGGAGCUUGUACCUCUGACGUUAGCGGCGGACGGGUGAGUAACACGUGGAUAACCUACCUAUAAGCGUGGGAUAACUUCGGGAAACGGGAGCUAAUACCGCAUAAAAACUUUAACCACAUGGUUUAAUAGUGAAAGAUGGAUUUGCAUUACUCAAUAAAUAGCUCCCGGCCGAAUAAGCAAGUUGGUAAGGUAAGGGCCUACCAAGGCAACGAUGAGUAGCCGCCCGGAGAGGGUGAUCGGCCACACUGGAACUGAGCCACGCUCCAGACUCCUACGGGAGCCACCAGUGGGGAUCCUCCGGCAUGGAGCGAAGUCCUAACGGGCCAACCCCGGUGGGUGGAUAAAGGUCUUGGGAUCUAAAAAUCCUGUUAUUGGGGAAGAACAAGUGGGUAAUGGAAUAUGCACGACUUGACGGUACCUAAUCAGAAAGCCACGGCUAACUACGUG